GGUCUGGUGGUGUAGUUGGUUAUCACGUCAGUCUAACAGCUCGAGAGCCUCACUUCUCUCGUCACUGCCACACUGAAGGUCUCCGGUUCAAGUCCGGGCUAGAUCA